rnacentral:rRNA from 1 species
GAUGAACGCUGGCGGCGUGCCUAAUACAUGCAAGUCGAGCGAACGGACGAGAAGCUUGCUUCUCUGAUGUUAGCGGCGGACGGGUGAGUAACACGUGGAUAACCUACCUAUAAGACUGGGAUAACUUCGGGAAACCGGAGCUAAUACCGGAUAAUAUUUUGAACCGCAUGGUUCAAAAGUGAAAGACGGUCUUGCUGUCACUUAUAGAUGGAUCCGCGCUGCAUUAGCUAGUUGGUAAGGUAACGGCUUACCAAGGCAACGAUGCGUAGCCGACCUGAGAGGGUGAUCGGCCACACUGGAACUGAGACACGGUCCAGACUCCUACGGGAGGCAGCAGUAGGGAAUCUUCCGCAAUGGGCGAAAGCCUGACGGAGCAACGCCGCGUGAGUGAUGAAGGUCUUCGGAUCGUAAAACUCUGUUAUUAGGGAAGAACAAAUGUGUAAGUAACUAUGCACGUCUUGACGGUACCUAAUCAGAAAGCCACGGCUAACUACGUG